GAUCUCUGUUUUACAUGAUUAGUUAUAUUGUGCAAGAGACAAGACGAUGGACAUAUUGCACAAAUAUGAAUUGCUUUUCUUGGGAAAGGCAGUCCAAUAGCAAGACAUGCAUGAUUACUAGCUGCUUGUUCUGCUAAUGGAAGCCAAUCCUGCGUAUGGCCGAUGGAGCAGAGUGACAGGAUAUUGGUGCUGGCAGCGCUGGUGUAACUACCAGGGUAGGACUUCUUGAGGAAGCUGUGAACCCAGAGGAACAGGAUUCACUCUGAAGACUCAGAUCCCAUUGACAGGACCCACUGGCGCCGGGAUCCACUGACACCAGGAGCCACUGACACCAGAUCCCACUGAUCGUACCCAUGGCCAUGUACCAGCAGGCAGCUGUCUCCAAGCAGCAGGACAACACCUUCUCCAGCGGGGUCAUGGAGGAGUCUGAGGUCUGCUCUGUGCCUGGGGGGCUCGCCAGCGUCAGGGCACAAUUCGAGAACCAGGAAACUGCAACAUCGCACAAUGUCUCCCAGUUCCACUUCCACCGCAGAGCUGUGCAGGAAGUGCAAUUGAACUCUGAGGUGACAAUGAGGAGCAGUUCCAGAGAAGUCAUCCCAGCCUCGCAGCAGGCUAUUUUCCACCAGGAUGAACAGG
rnacentral:lncRNA from 1 species